rnacentral:SRP_RNA from 1 species
GGCCGGGCCCGGCGGGCGGGUCGGCCGCGAAUCUGGUCAGGGCUUGAUCGCAGCAGCCAUAAGCGUUUCGAUCCGAGCCGACGGUCGCCUGGCCGUC